rnacentral:rRNA from 1 species
UACGUAGGUGGCAAGCGUUAUUCGGAAUCACUAGGCGUAAAGCGCAGGUAGGCGGUUCGGUAAGUCUCUUGUGAAAGCUCCCGGCUCAACUGGGAGAGGUCAAGGGAAACUACCGGGCUAGAGUGUGGCAGAGGAAGCUGGAAUUCCCGGUGUAGCGGUGAAAUGCGUAGAGAUCGGGAGGAAUACCUAUGGCGAAAGCAGGCUUCUGGGCCGUCACUGACGCUGAUCUGCGAAAGCUAGGGGAGCAAACAGG